UACGUAGGUCCCGAGCGUUAUCCGGAUUUAUUGGGCGUAAAGCGAGCGCAGGCGGUUAGAUAAGUCUGAAGUUAAAGGCUGUGGCUUAACCAUAGUACGCUUUGGAAACUGUUUAACUUGAGUGCAGAAGGGGAGAGUGGAAUUCCAUGUGUAGCGGUGAAAUGCGUAGAUAUAUGGAGGAACACCGGUGGCGAAAGCGGCUCUCUGGUCUGUAACUGACGCUGAGGCUCGAAAGCGUGGGGAGCAA
rnacentral:rRNA from 1 species